GAAAGCAGCUGCGGCUCGUAAACCGGCGGCUCCGCCGAGGGCCGUGCCCGGCCGAGCUUGGGCGGCGCGGCCCAGCCCCGGCCCGGAGCGGGGAUGUCCCCGCCUCGCCCCCGCACCCUCAGCUCCCGCGCUCUCUGACAGCCAUUUUGGGGGUUAUACACCUCGCUCCCCACUGCGCCCUCGCCUCCAAGUUAGGGAAGCGGGAAGGGGGCCGGGAGUAGGAAAGACGCGUUCGAAAACGAGAAGAAAGUGGCCCAGAGCAGAGCUUGGGGAACAAAGAACUUCUCGCCCAAGUGGGUCAUCAUGAUGGCAGCUCCCACACCACAGAACUUACCAAUAACAAAAGACUAAGUAGAAGAAGGAAAGGAAGUGUGGUAAUGGUGAUUUGAGCUCCAGAGACAGAGAGAGCAACUCAGCCAGAGGAAGCAGAACAAAUAAGAAGAUAAAGAAGCACUUUUGGAAGCGGAAAUUUUGACCAAUAAGGGUGAAAUUCACCUUACAGCAUUUGAUAGGGAAAGGCUAAAAGAUGUAUUUUUUGGUGGGCAAAGAUUUGUAUUUUGAGAUGCAAAUGCCAUGAAUA